GAUGAACGCUGGCGGCGUGCCUAAUACAUGCAAGUCGAGCGAACGGACGAGAAGCUUGCUUUUCUGAUGUUAGCGGCGGACGGGUGAGUAACACGUGGAUAACCUACCUAUAAGUCUGGGAUGACUUCGGGAGACCGGAGCUAAUACCGGCUAAUAUUUUGAACCGCAUGGUUCAAGAGUGAAAGACGGUCUUGCUGUCACUUAUAGAUGGAUCCGCGCUGCAUUAGCUAGUUGGUAAGGUAACGGCUUACCAAGGCAACGAUGCGUAGCCGACCUGAGAGGGUGAUCGGCCACACUGGAACUGAGACACGGUCCAGACUCCUACGGGAGGCAGCAGUAGGGAAUCUUCCACAAUGGGCGAAAGCCUGACGGAGCAACGCCGCGUGAGUGAUGAAGGCCUUCGGAUUGUAAAACUCUUUUAUUAGGGAAGAACAGAAGUGUAAUUAACUGCGCACAUUUUGACGGUACCUAAUCAGAAAGCCACGGCUAACUACGUG
rnacentral:rRNA from 1 species